GGGGAGAUACUCAAGCGGCCAACGAGGGCGGACUGUAAAUCCGCUGACUAAGUCUUCGCAGGUUCGAAUCCUGCUCUCCCCACGA
rnacentral:tRNA from 1 species